GUUCUACUUGUCCCAUUUCCACGUUAUUUGUAAACGUUGAAAGCCUUUUAAAUGCAGGUAUAAUGACUAGCUCCUCUCUGUAGUUUCAGUGAGUGGUACCAGGCCUGACAUAGAGAGGGAAUGGAAUGCCCUACAGAAUGAGAACCCAGAAGGGAGACACUCAGCCCUGAAAAGCAGACUUCAGAUCAACUGAUUAAUUUUUUCAUCGACAGAAGCAAAAAAGGAAAAGAAAGAAGGAAGGAAAAGGACCGAGAGAACAGAUGUGACACAUCGAUGACUCUACUGAGCCUGGGGACUCCUAUGAGGAACUAAACAAACUUGCCACCUCCCUUGGCCCCAUCUAGAAACACUCCUAGUUAACAG
rnacentral:lncRNA from 1 species